AGAGUUUGAUCCUGGCUCAGAGCGAACGCUGGCGGCAGGCCUAACACAUGCAAGUCGAGCGGCCGUAGCAAUACGGCAGCGGCAGACGGGAGAGUAACACGUGGGAACGCGCCCUUCGGUUCGGGAUAACCCAGGGAAACUUGGGCUAAUACCGGAUACGCCCUUACGGGGAAAGAUUUAUUGCCGAAGGAACGGCCCGCGUCCGAUUAGCUAGUUGGUGAGGUAAUGGCUCACCAAGGCGACGAUCGGUAGCUGGUCUGAGAGGAUGACCAGCCUCACUGGGACUGAGACACGGCCCAGACUCCUACGGGAGGCAGCAGUGGGGAAUAUUGGACAAUGGGCGCAAGCCUGAUCCAGCCAUGCCGCGUGAGUGAUGAAGGCCUUAGGGUUGUAAAGCUCUUUCGUCAGGGACGAUAAUGACGGUACCUGAAGAAGAAGCCCCGGCUAACUUCGUGCCAGCAGCCGCGGUAAUACGAAGGGGGCUAGCGUUGUUCGGAAUCACUGGGCGUAAAGCGCAUGUAGGCGGGUCUUUAAGUCAGGGGUGAAAUGCCAAGGCUCAACCUUGGAACUGCCUUUGAUACUGGAGACCUUGAGUCCGGGAGAGGUGAGUGGAACUGCGAGUGUAGAGGUGAAAUUCGUAGAUAUUCGCAAGAACACCAGUGGCGAAGGCGGCUCACUGGCCCGGUACUGACGCUGAGAUGCGAAAGCGUGGGGAGCAAACAGGAUUAGAUACCCUAGUAGUCC
rnacentral:rRNA from 1 species